rnacentral:misc_RNA from 1 species
AGUCGUAACAAGGUCUCCGUUGGUGAACCAGCGGAGGGAUCAUUACCGAGUUAUACAACUCCCAAACCCACUGUGAACCUUACCUCAGUUGCCUCGGCGGGAACGCCCCGGCCGCCGGCCCCCGCGCCGGCGCCGGACCCAGGCGCCCGCCGCAGGGACCCCAAACUCUCUUGCAUUACGCCCAGCGGGCGGAAUUUCUUCUCUGAGUUGCACAAGCAAAAACAAAUGAAUCAAAACUUUCAACAACGGAUCUCUUGGUUCUGGCAUCGAUGAAGAACGCAGCGAAAUGCGAUAAGUAAUGUGAAUUGCAGAAUUCAGUGAAUCAUCGAAUCUUUGAACGCACAUUGCGCCCGCCAGCAUUCUGGCGGGCAUGCCUGUUCGAGCGUCAUUUCAACCCUCGAGCCCCCCCGGGGGCCUCGGUGUUGGGGGACGGCACACCAGCCGCCCCCGAAAUGCAGUGGCGACCCCGCCGCAGCCUCCCCUGCGUAGUAGCACACACCUCGCACCGGAGCGCGGAGGCGGUCACGCCGUAAAACGCCCAACUUUCUUAGAGUUGACCUCGGAUCAGGUAGGAAUACCCGCUGAACUUAAGCAUAUCAAUAAGCGGAGGAAAAGAAACCAACAGGGAUUGCCCCAGUAACGGCGAGUGAAGCGGCAACAGCUCA